CAACUGAGCCAGCUUUGCGCCCGCAUCCUCAUUCUUCUCAUCUGUAAAAUAUUGGAGUUGGGUUCUGUCCUUUGUAAUGGAAAAAGUCCUGACUUACCACCUGAGGCUUGGUCUGAAUCAGAUGAAGGUGGCAACAUGGCUCAAUAAAACUAACACAUACAGAACAUCUUCUGGGGAGCGAGCACAGAGCCAGGAACUUCCCCAAAUACUCUCGCAGGGUGCAAGGGUGGCAGUGUGGUGUGGACCGAUUGGACACGGGGAGGCCAACUGUGGAAGCUGAAGGCAAGAUUGUAAUGAUGCCCUGCCUGGUUGUGCUCAAAUUAAACCUCUGACUGGUUAAGUUCUAGAUCUGCUGCCCCAGGUGGGAACACAAGUGUGUUCUUAUCGAGAGAAAGAAAUGGCUCUUCCAUUAUCAAGAGUCAAGAUUAUUAUUUAAGGAAAGAGAUAUGCGGAUCAAAUUGUAGAAGCUGGGAAUUCUAGUUGGUUUGGGGGAGCAGAAUAGACUUUGGAGGGAAAUGAAAUCAGGCUUCCCUGUGGUAAAUUAGCAGUUACAGUCUUGUACACGGGAAGCUGAAAAGGAAUCAUCCACCAGGGCCGGAUCUCUUAAGAAACUAAAUACCCUGGCUACCCAGGGUACUCUUUCAGAGGGCAUUAAUGAUUGACAGUACCUGUGGAAUGAUCCAUGUUGUAUGUACAUCAUUCUGUAAUUAAAGUUUUCUUUUGCCCUCUCUUGA